UGCUCAUCAUAGCAUAGCUACAUGUAGUCUACGUACGUACCUAUGCAAACUCGCAACGGAUCAAAGUACACCAAAUCGCGUUGCACCAAUAUAACAAAUACCACUGCAUAUCAUUCUGAUCUGGCACGAAAUCUCCAGCUUUUUCACUUACUAGGAUAUGUUCUAUAAAUUUGGAUUCCGGAUUAUGUGCACAGGCAGUGCAAGAUUGAAGCCUAUAGAUGAUUCUGACUGCCUAAUCUCUUAAAUUCAGCAAUGGAGUUCACAUCGAUGAUGCGGAUUGUGAGUUAUAUUUGUGCAGCGAUUUUCACUUUUGCUGGAGCACUUGUAAAAGCUGACUACUGCUACCAUUGCACUCAUUCCAUUACACAUGAAGUGAUGACCAGUAUGGAUGAGGUCUGCUCCGAGACAGGGGUACAUGUGCAUUGUGCGUUUGGCUGUCGGGUAACAAGAACAUUUGACGCCCAGAAGAUGGAAGCUACCAUUCACCGGGGUUGUGCAACUACAUCAGAUUGUCAAAAGUAUUUCGCAAUCAAGGGGAAAUCUUUGAAUCUAAGUAUCUGCUGCUCCGGUGAUUUUUGUAACAAGCAGAAGUAUGAAUUGAUGAUAUUGAUAAGCUUAGUGGUAAUAUUUCUUAGCAUCCUUUUACAAUUCAUGUAUAAUGUAUUUAUUAGGCUUUUAUAUUUUCUAUUGUUCUUGGUCCUUAGUAUUAUUAUAUUAUGUUUAGCAUUGUAUUAUUUUCUAUGAAUGUGACCGUUAAUUUGAUAGCUCGUGAUAGCAUAUUUUGAUAGUUUGGUAGAGUCUGUGCAAAUUUACGAAAGUUUACUGUUCCUUAUGUAAUUUUUGGCUUGAUAUAGAUUACCAAGAGGCCCUGUUUCUAUUUUUGAUAGCUCAUUGACAUUUUGCCUUAUCGGCACCGUCAUACUAUGUUCAUUGUUUUGGGUUUUAUGGCGUUUCCAAUAAUUUCUUUUGUUUAUUUUUAUUCAUUUAUUUUAUUUCCAGGCAAGAUAAUAACAAACAUGGCAUAUAAAAAAUGGCAAAUACAGUAGAAACAUGACAAGAGAAAUUUAAGAAUUUGGCAUCAGCCAAAUGAUUGUUUCAUUGAUGAUUGAUUGAUGAUUGAUUGAUUGAUUGAUUGAUUGGUUGAUUGAUUUGAUUUGAUUGAUUGGUUGAUUGAUUGGUUGGUUGGUUGAUUGAUGAUUGAUUGAUUGAUUGAUUGAUUUGAUCUGAUUUGAUUUGAUUGAUUGAUUGAAUUUAUUGAUUCAUUCAUUCGUCAAGUGAAUAAUCAGGUACGAGCUAGGUGCGUUUAUUACUUAAAUAGUCUGCUUCGGCAUAUGGAAUAAAUAAUCACAAAUGGUUUUAGUAAAUGCCGUGUAUAUAUAUAUAUAUAUAUAUAUAUAUAUUUAUUUAUCAAUCAAUCAAUCAAUCAAUCAAUAUAUAUAUUUAUUUAUUUAUUUAUUUAUUUUGUUUUAUUUAUUUUAUACUGCAGGGUAGGCCUGUUCAGUUCUUAAAACUGCUUUACAAAGGCGCCCUGCAGUUUAAAAUACAUGUCAAGAUAACUAUGAACAACAACAACAAACAACAUCAAAAAUACAAAAUACAAAAUAUCUAACAUCAGAAACAAUUAACACCAAAAUAUAGAGUGGGAAGUGACAAUUUAAACAUACAUAGCAUUGUAAAUCAAUGGAAUAUCAUUUCGCUCUUUAUCAAUUCGUAUGAAAGGCUUUGCAUAUUUUUUUUAAAACUAACAAUGAGGUACAAACUUGUAAAUUUGAAGGAAGUGCAUUAAAUAAUUUGGGUCCGACAUAUGCGAAAGAUUUUCUUUUAUGAUCAAUUCUAGCUUUGGGAAGCUGAAGGGGGCAUCGUAAAGAAUACCGUGUCCUGUAUUUCACGGGCCGUUUACAUACUAAAGGUUUUAAAUAAUUUGGAACUAAAUCAUUCAUUAUUUUAUAUACAAGAACACAAUACUGAUAUUUUAUACGCUGAUCUACUGAUUGCCACUUCAGUGACUGCAACAAAGAAAUUUGUGAUGUAUUAUAAUCUUUUUUCAAAAGCAUUCUGGCAUAUUUAUUUUGAAGUUUUUGUAUCUUAUCUAAAUGUAUUUUUGCACUGCUUCCCCAAGAUGUAAUACAGUAAUCAAUGUAAGGUAAAAUAAUAGAAAAGUACAGCUUCUUCAUAAUACCAAAGGCCAGUAAGUGCUUAAUCCGCCUUACACAACCUAUUGCCCGAGAUAUUUUACAAACGAUAUUAGUAAUAUGUUCGCACCAAGUCAAGCCCGGAUCGAGCAUGACACCUAAGUAUUUAAUCUUUUUUACAUUUUCUAAUUGUAUGUUCCUGAAUUUCACUGACAAAUGAGCACCCCUCAACUUUUUCUUUUGACCAAAUACCAUGGCUUUUGUUUUUUGCGGGUGUAAAUGCAUAAUAUUUAAGUCUAGCCAUUUACUUAUUGAAUCAAAAUCAUCUUGCAAAUACUUUUGUACCUCCUUAAUUGAUUCACCGUGAUUAAAAAUGGUGGUAUCAUCAGCAUAAAGAGACAUUUUAGAAUGUACAUGCAAUUUCAAAUUACACAUGUCACUAAUAAAAAUACGAAAUAUCAAUGGACCCAGUAUAGAUCCUUGUGGGACACCUGAUUUUAUCUUCAAAAAUUCACUGCGACAACUGUUAAUCAUUACAAAUUGCCUUCUGUCUGUUAAAUACGAUUCCAUCCAGUUGUAUUCAUUGCCAGUAAUACCAUAGUACUUAAGUUUUGCAAGUAUAAAAUUGUGAGGAAUAACAUCAAAAGCUUUGCGUAAGUCCAAGAAAAUACCACCAGUAACAUGUUUUCGGUCCAUUUUAUCAUACAAAAAGUCUGUAUCUCAGUUAGACAAGUGGCAGUAGAAUAAGACGGUCUUAUUAUAUAUAUAUAAUGUAUAUAUAUUGGUUAACAUUGUCAUUUAAUUUACUUCACAUGUAAUUUUCAUUGGUAAUUGCCAUGAAGUCGAUUUUUUGUUAAAAGAAACAAAUAAAACGUUGUAUUCCAAUCAUUAUGGAUUCAUUGCCUUGCAUGGGAAACGGAUUUUGC